CCUGGUGCCAGUUGCGACUAGGUCCCACCUGAUCCCGUCCCGAACUCAGAAGUGAAACUAGUCAGCGCCGAUGAUACUGUGGCGUCUGUCGCGGGGAAAGUAGGUCGGUGCCAGGU
rfam:Candidatus Doudnabacteria bacterium RIFCSPHIGHO2_01_FTLL_43_23 rifcsphigho2_01_scaffold_15788, whole genome shotgun sequence.